rnacentral:rRNA from 1 species
AGUCACUGACAUUAGACUACCCCCGUAGUCCAGGGUGUAAACGCUGCAGACUUGGUGUUGGGAACCCUUCGGGGGUGCUCAGUGCCGGAGAGAAGUUGUUAAGUCUGCUACUUGGGAGUACGUCCGCAAGGAUGAAACUUAAAGGAAUUGGCGGGGAGCACCGCAACGGGAGGAGCGUGCGGUUUAAUUGGAUUCAACGCCGAAAAACUCACCAGCAGCGACUGUUACAUGAAGGCCGAGAUGAAGACUCUGCUAGAUUUUCAG